GAUCUUUGGAGUCAAGCCAAGAUGUGACCGUCACGUUUUGGAUCUCUCCUUCCUUUAGAUAGAAAACAGAACCCCUGUUUCUAUAGAAACAUAAAUAAUUGACAAUUAGAAAACUAUUAUUCCUAAAAAUGCACUCCUCUAGCCGAAACUUCGCUCCGCCCUUGAGGCCUCGUCGUAUCGACACGAGCAGGCGGACCACCACCGCAGCGGAACCAAAGCCACACGGCCCUGUUUCCCAGAGGGAAGACAAAAACAUGAACACCAUUUCCUCUUCCUCUCCUCGGCGCGCCACCAAAGCGACCCCUGAGUCUUCCAGGACCAGGGUGGGGGUCCAGCCUCGUGCCCCCUUGGGUCAGUCCAGAUUGGGCUUACAGAGAAACACAGCUCCCCUCUCUACGACCAAACCCAAAAGUGUCCGUGCAGCAGCAGCUGUGUCGAAACGCGCCCCUCUUCCUGCUCUUCCUCAUCUGGACCCCAAUUGUAAUGAACCCAGCCUGCCUUGUCUGUGUUGCGACGGCCAUUCCCCCCAGGACAAUAACAGUCUGUUCAACCACAACCACAACAACAACAAUACCAUCUCCAUCAGACAGCAGCUGAAGCUUCAGCCCCCUCCACCACCUCCCCUGCUACCCCAGAGACAGGAGGGGACAGGGGGCAAGACCAAGACACAGGCCAGCCCCUCUCAGCCCCAGCCUCAGGUCCUGGCCCCAGCCUGCCCCCCUAAUGCCCUGGAACUGGAGAAAGGAACACAAGUUGAGGAGAAUGCAGAUGUUAACAAGAACACAGAUGUGGUCAUAGACAACAAGAAAGAAACGGAGGAAGAGAUGGAUGACAAGAAAGAAACAGAGGAGGAAGAGGAAAACAGUGUUGAUGUUGAAGUUGAUGAUGAGGAGGAGGGAGAUGAUGAUGAUGAUGACGACACGUUGGUCCCAUCGUGCUGCGACUGCCCUCCCUCUCUCCUGGAUCUCUCCCUGACCUCCUCCACCUCCUCAUCCUCCACUUCCAUCAGCUCCUGCUCCGAUCUGGAGUCAGACUGCGCCGAUCUCUCCACCUCUCUCUCGUCCUCUGACCACAAGUGGAACGCUGAUCUGUCAAUUUCUCAGGACCACACUCACAUUCAUGUUCCUGAACGCUACCCGGCCUCCCGUUCCCCCCCUGUCCUGCUCCUCAACCCCAAACCCCCUUCUGUCUCUCGUUGCCCUUCCUCCCCCCCACACGCCUGCUCCCCAGACGAGGGCUACCCCUCCGCCCCCGCCUCCCCCUCCUCCUCCGACUACCUGGGGGUCAAAGGUCAGACAGGCUUAGGGUCAGAUGUCACCAAACUAGGCCUCCUGGACUUCCUGGAGUCAGUGGGAGACUUUGGAAAGAUGGAGCGCUUUAGCCAGGUGAUUCAGGUGGCUCGCUGGGACCUGGAGGGGGAUCCUCAGGGGGAUCUACUGAGGGAUCGACUGGAUCACCUGGACCGACUGGAGAGUGUCAACAGGCAGGUGAAGCUGGCCCACAUCACCAGGCUCCAUGAGAAGGGACUGGAUCUAGGCGAUCUGGGCAAGGAGGAUCUCUCUGAUGUUCUGGAUGAGAUGGGGAACGUGGAUAUGUCUUGGAAGCUGUAUAAGGGCCGGGGAGGGUCUUUGGGAGAUUCCCAGGAGUUCUCUGAUGCUGGAGUGGACCUGACAGCACCUUCAGACUGUGACGAGCCCCUGACCUCUUCGCCCAUAGAGCUCCCACCGAGACCCCCCAAACCCCCUGCCCGCUAUGCCAGCGUGAACUCUGAACUCCACACCUACAUCAACAUCAGCCGUGACAUCACCCCCUCCGUCUCUGUCUGCACCUCUCCAUCCUCAUCCCCCACUUUCUACACCUUCAGGUGUGAGAAGGCCCUCCCUCCUUCCCCACGCUCCAUCCCCCCUCCUCUUCUCUGUCAGCCCAUCCCUUACUUUACUCUCUACAAAUCAUCCUCUCUCCCAUUCUCCCUCCCCUCCUCCACUCCCCCCAUCCCUCCCCCUCGGAGGAAGCACCUAGCCCGUAAGGAGGCUCAGCGUCUCGCCACCCUCCAAGCAGGAUGCGGGAAGACCCCCCUGUCCCUCUCCCCUCCCACCUCUCGCCUCCCUCCUUUCCCCCCUGCCCCCACCAUUUCCAUCUCCAACUCCACCACCUCCCUUGCCAUCCCUCCCCCGCCCUCUCUCCCCCCUCCUCCCUCUUUCCAUGCGUUGGAUGAUGAGAUCCGUAAGCUACUGGUGCUCGCAGGACUGACCCAGGCUGAGCUCCUCAAACUCAGCCCAGAGCUGGGGGUUUGUGUGGGGGGACUGGAGGAGGAGGGAGAGGGGGAGACCCACCACACCUCCAGGCCUGGACAGACACAUGAUAGUGGGAUGAGGAGAAAAGAGGAGAAGGCUAAGGAGCAGUAUGAUAUAGAUGGGUUGGCUGUGGAUGGAUGGAGAGAUGGAGGAGGGAGGUCAGAGGUGGAGAGGGAUAGAGAGACUGAUAUAUUUGGAGGAGUAAAGGAGGGAGAGAAAGAGGAGAGCAGAGAUGUGUUUAGAACCACGUCUUUCACUGACAUGGCGAGAAGGAGGAAGAGAAACAGCGGGUUUGGGGCUAACGUUAGCCUAGCAUCUGACUCCUACUACAGCACUGGCAAUACCAACACCUCUAACAAUGUUAACUUCGAGACUUUCAAAUAUUCCCCUGUGCUCUCGGAAACCCCUCCCCCUCCUCCUCCGCGUCCCUUACCCCCUGUCCCCCCUACCCUGCCCCCCCUCAAAGUUUGCACCCUUCUCGCCAACUCUUUACGCCCUGAGCGAUUUGAUUGGCUCAUGGCUUUCUCCCCCGAUGGUGAAACCCUGACCCUGCCCCCGCCCUUGGAAGUUAGAAAAUCCAAUGAGGAAACCCUGAAGAAAUCUACUUCCGGGUCAACGUCAGGGUCGGGUUCAAAAGUGAUGACCUUCAAGGAACUGCGUAACCGUAGCAAACACAGCUCCCCGGCAUACCAACUAAUAACUGAACCGGAUCCUGAUCCUACAGUCAUAACCCCUGACCCUGACUUCCUCUACAAUCUCAAGUGGAGGAGGGAAAAGACGGACAGCGACGGAAUCCAAUGGGAGUACACCUCCCAGGCCCAGGCCACCUUCCUGCAACCACCUCCCCUCACCUCAUUGGCUGCUUUUAGGGAAAUGUUCCAGAAAGCAGAGGAUGCUAUUGGACACCCCGAGUUAUGUCCCUCGCAGCGGAUUGGGUGCUCAGCCAGUGAAGGGAACCUGUGGAGGAUGGAUGGACAGAGAAAAGAGGAGGGAGAAAAGAGGAAAGAAGAGGUAGAGGAAGAAGAGGUGGAGGUGAGAGGAACAGCUGAUGGAGGAAGAACCUGGGAGUCAAGAACUACAGGUGAGUUAGAUGAUGAUGAUGAUGACUAUCGGCCUAGUUGCUGACUGUGAGGUGCUGAUUUGGGGUGAAAAUGUGGAGGUAGUAACAAACUACAGUAUUCACUGAAGCCACCUUCCAUCUGAUAUUAUGUACACAACACCACAUCUGAAACUGUGUCCUCUCUUGGGAAUAAAAACUAAACCAGCAGAGAGAAGGGUGACAAAAACACGGGGAGAAUUCUCCGCAUUCCAGAGUAGAGGGAAAGAGAAAUAAGGGGAACAAGAGAGAGAUGCAUACAUAGAUGGGUGCAGUGGAAUGUAGUUUCUAUCUAGGAUGGACAGAUAGAUGAUGGAGAUGGAAAGGAGGAGAGAAAAAGGACUAGAUGGGCUGCACUCAUUCUUUUUCAGGGAUGGACAGGUGAGUGUAUGGGGCAGAGUGGGAGAGUGAGACAGAGAGGGAGGAAGAGUAUGGGGCAGAGUGGGAGAGGGAGACAGAGAGGGAGGAAGUGUAUGGGGCAGAGUGGGAGAGGGAGACAGAGAGGGAGGAAGAGAUGGUGGAAUCUCUUCAGUGCUUCCUGUGGGCCUGGUGUGAUGUCAUCACUGCCUUUAUUCAAUUAUUCAUCCAAUCUGCAGACCGGGGGGAAGUAAUGGAGUACCCACAGCUAUCUCUCUCUCUCUUCCCAUCUCCUCUCCCUCUCUCUCCCCAUCUCCCUCUCUCUCACUCUGUCCAUCUCCCUCUAGCUCACUCUCUCUCCUCUCUCUCUCUCCCCCAUCUCCCUCUCUCUACCCAUCUCUCUCUCCCCAUCUCCCUCUCCCCAUCUCCCUCUAGCUCUCUUUCUCUGUAUAUCUCUCUUCCUCUCUUUCUGUCUCUUUCCUCCUCCCUCAUUCUCUUUCUAUCCUUUUCACUGUUUAUACACUGUAGCCUGUUCUCUCGGUCUCCCCAUAUCCCUCUCUCUACCCAUCUCCCUCUCCCCAUCUCCCUCUAGCUCUCUUUCUCUGUAUAUCUCUCUUCCUCUCCCUCUCUCUACCCAUCUCCCUCUCCCNNNNNNNNNNCGCCCAUAGAGCUCCCACCGAGACCCCCCAAACCCCCUGCCCGCUAUGCCAGCGUGAACUCUGAACUCCACACCUACAUCAACAUCAGCCGUGACAUCACCCCCUCCGUCUCUGUCUGCACCUCUCCAUCCUCAUCCCCCACUUUCUACACCUUCAGGUGUGAGAAGGCCCUCCCUCCUUCCCCACGCUCCAUCCCCCCUCCUCUUCUCUGUCAGCCCAUCCCUUACUUUACUCUCUACAAAUCAUCCUCUCUCCCAUUCUCCCUCCCCUCCUCCACUCCCCCCAUCCCUCCCCCUCGGAGGAAGCACCUAGCCCGUAAGGAGGCUCAGCGUCUCGCCACCCUCCAAGC
rnacentral:lncRNA from 13 species